UGAACAGACGAGUUCAGUUUCCG
rnacentral:piRNA from 1 species